GUUCAAUGGUACAAUACCUCAGUCUUAUCAGGUGUUCUAUAAAUUCACCUUGAAAAACUGAGGUUGAGUUUCACUGAAC
ensembl:miRNA